rnacentral:rRNA from 1 species
UGAGGAAUAUUGGUCAAUGGGCGAGAGCCUGAACCAGCCAAGUAGCGUGCAGGAUGACGGCCCUAUGGGUUGUAAACUGCUUUUAUAUGGGAAUAAAGUGAGGGACGUGUCCCUUAUUGCAUGUACCAUAUGAAUAAGGACCGGCUAAUUCCGUGCCAGCAGCCGCGGUAAUACGGAAGGUCCAGGCGUUAUCCGGAUUUAUUGGGUUUAAAGGGAGCGUAGGCUGUUUGUUAAGCGUGUUGUGAAAUGUAAGAGCUCAACUUUUAGAUUGCAGCGCGAACUGGCAGACUUGAGUGCGCACAACGUAGGCGGAAUUCAUGGUGUAGCGGUGAAAUGCUUAGAUAUGACGAAGAACUCCGAUUGCGAAGGCAGCUGACGGGAGCGCAACUGACGCUUAAGCUCGAAGGUGCGGGUAUCAAACAGG